CUACGGGAGGCAGCAGUGGGGAAUUUUGGACAAUGGGCGCAAGCCUGAUCCAGCCAUUCCGCGUGAGUGAAGAAGGCCUUCGGGUUGUAAAGCUCUUUCAGCGGGAACGAAACGGUCGAUCCUAAUACGGUCGGCUAAUGACGGUACCUGCAGAAGAAGCACCGGCUAACUACGUGCCAGCAGCCGCGGUAAUACGUAGGGUGCGAGCGUUAAUCGGAAUUACUGGGCGUAAAGCGUGCGCAGGCGGUGACAUAAGACAGAUGUGAAAUCCCCGGGCUCAACCUGGGAACUGCGUUUGUGACUGUGUCGCUCGAGUGUAGCAGAGGGGGGUGGAAUUCCACGUGUAGCAGUGAAAUGCGUAGAGAUGUGGAGGAACACCGAUGGCGAAGGCAGCCCCCUGGGUUAACACUGACGCUCAUGCACGAAAGCGUGGGGAGCAAACAGGAUUAGAUACCCUGGUAGUCCACGCCCUAAACGAU
rnacentral:rRNA from 1 species